UACGUAGGGGGCAAGCGUUGUCCGGAUUUAUUGGGCGUAAAGAGCGUGUAGGCGGCCAGGUAGGUCUGCUGUGAAAACUCGAGGCUUAACCUCGAGAUGUCGGCGGAAACCAUCUGGCUAGAGUCCGGAAGAGGAGAAUGGAAUUCCCGGUGUAGCGGUGAAAUGCGCAGAUAUCGGGAAGAACACCCGUGGCGAAGGCGGUUCUCUGGGCCGAUACUGACGCUGAGGCGCGAAAGCUAGGGGAGCAAACAGG
rnacentral:rRNA from 1 species